rnacentral:lncRNA from 1 species
AAGACUGCUAUUGGUUUUUUUGAAGAAGGGGAAGUGACAGGAAGUGAGGUGGGAAAAGAAGCAUAAAAGCAGAGACCAGCAUAGUCUAGCAUUCAUUCCCUUCCUGGUUUUUGGAGAGACUUGUUCUGGAGAUUCCUUUCCUGGCUUGAAGGAGACUUUUUCCCUGGAUCCUGUGUUGGCUUGUGUGGCUGAGAUUCCUACCUUGUGUAGUAGAUAUCGCUACUAGGGGAAUUAUGGCAAUAGGAAAAUGUUAGAGCAGUAACACCAGGAAGCAAGCUAGGGGCAAGACUGGAUCUUGGGCCCCUCCCCCUACACUACUUCCUGUUCCCUUUCAACUGUCUUGGAAAUGUUCUUCUCAGAAAUGGAGCGAUUUCUGAUUUAUCCGUGGAAGAGAACGUUCUUUUCCCCAUCCUCCAUACCAUACCUGACUGGAAUUGUAGCAUUUGAGCCCCAGCAGCUCUGAUGGAGGAACCAAGCCCUGGAGAUGGCUGCAGUGCAAUAUCAGAAAACGAAGAUCCCAGAGAGGUGAUGCACCUACUAAAUGAGAGUUGGGACUCAAAUGGACGUCUUCUCAUUCCAAGUACAGUGCUCUUGCUGCUGUAACAUCCGAUCCCAAAUCUGAACUGCUCUUUCUGGUUUUCCUAACGGACCUCCCUCCAUCCCACCACACUUUGCCCCCAUCCUCAUCAUUUACCACACUGA